CGGGGACCCAGAGGCCGCGCCUACCCCAUCGCUCCGCGGCCGCCCGGACCCCUGGCCCCCAGCCCGCCCCGCGGCGUCUGCGGGGGCUCAGGAAAGUGCGGUGGGAUCCGCGUACUCGAGCCCGCCCUUUCAGCUGUUUCCUCGACGUGACCUGAAGUCACCCGGAACUAACUGGGGCGCAGGGUCCCGCGGUCGAGUGGGGAGCGCUGGAUUGCAGCCUGACCUGAUUGGUAACCAGGCAGCGGGGGAGGCUGGCGAGAGGUUCUAGAAGUCGCCUGAGAACUUUGCGCCAAAGUCGUCUUGAGGAAUGCUGGCAGCGGAGUUGGACACCCCCGCUUUCCAUCAGGGAUGGUUGGUGACUUGGGAGGUGGUUUCCGCGUCCUGCCAUUUGCGUGCAGGUAGAGGCUUCUGGACCAAACGAAGAGAAGAUGAGGAAAGCCCGAUAGAUGUGAACACGCCCACGAGCAUCGCCUCAGCUCAGAACUGGGUCAAGGAGGGGCCCACUCCUGGCAUCACGACAAAAACAAGUCCAGGCCAGGCCCGCACACGGUGCCUCCUAACUUUAGCAGACUGUUCUCCAACAGGGCACAAAGGGUGACUUGGGUUCCUAAUCACUAAAAGUUUUUUUGAGGUUUCUGUUUCAAAUUUGAAAAGAGAUUUAGAAACACUGAACUUGUUUUGGUGGGCUAGUAGAUGAAAGAAGUUUGGAGUUUUGUAAGGAAAAGAGAGAACAGGAUUUGUGAAGAGAAUGUAUUUCAAGAAGAGAGAAUGCAAUAUGUCGUAUGCUUUGUUAAUAUAAUAAUGCUGCUCUGGAAGGGCGUGGUGAGCGAUAAGCUGAAUGGAUGUGUUUGUGAAAGGCCCUACAUAUUUGGCUUGUUUUGAACUCAGAUGAACAGAUGAGGAAACUGUACCAGUAUGAAGUUGUGAGCAAUUGUCUGUCCACAUAGGAAAAAAAGUAUUACCUCUCAUUAUACACAAAAAUAAACUCUAGGUGAGUAAAGAUA
ensembl:lncRNA